AACGCGAAGAACCUUACCCAGGUUUGAAAUACAGGAGACGUGACCAGAGAUGGUCAUUCCCGCAAGGGCUGCUGUGUAGGUGCUGCAUGGCUGUCGUCAGCUCGUGCCGUGAGGUGUUGGGUUAAGUCCCGCAACGAGCGCAACCCUUGUCAUUAGUUGCCAACACGCGAGGUGGGGACUCUAAUGAGACUGCCCAGGUUAACUGGGAGGAAGGCGAGGAUGACGUCAAGUCCGCAUGGCCCUUAUGUCUGGGGCUACACACGUGCUACAAUGGUCGGCACAGAAGGCAGCAAGACCGCAAGGUGGAGCAAAUCCUAUAAAGCCGAUCUCAGUUCAGAUUGUGGUCUGCAACUCGACCACAUGAAGUUGGAAUUGCUAGUAAUGGCGUGUCAGCAACAACGCCGUGAAUACGUUCCCGGGCCUUGUA
rnacentral:rRNA from 1 species